CGAGGAUAACGGAACUGAGCCUUUUACUAAAAUGUUUUAUGAGUUGGAGAACACAUUGGGAGGGAUCGUAGACCAUCCCUCCAUACAGAAUCAUUCCAGAUCCUUUAUAUUCUUGGUAUGUGCUUAUAGACUGCCCUCUUCAAUUCAUAACACAGGUUUCCAAUGUGCUUUAAGUCCGGAGACUACGAUGGCCAUUGCAAAAUGUGGAUUUUGUGGCUGAUAAACCAUUUCUUUGUGGAUUUUAAUGUGUGGUUGAAGUUAUUGUCUUGCUGGAAGAUCCACUUAGAUUCUCCCAGUUCACCCCUCCUCUCCCCUUCCAUACACUGUCAAUCACGCUACUCCUGACAACAUGGACACAAUAUGAUGAGUUAAACCAGGCAACUGGCUGCUCGAACUUCCCAGAAUGUAUUUUCUCCCCAUUCAAAAAACUGUAGACAGAGACUGCUUACAAAACAGACAAACUUUCUCUUCAACUGGGCUUCAGGCACAAAGUCUGGAUGAAUGAAUAAGACUCUGCAGGGUUAUGAGCAAAGUGAAAAUGGACCAGUUGUGUGAGCUGCUGGACUUCAUCCGCUAACCCGCCUCUCCUAUCCCUCCAUAGUUCCAUGGACACCUUUCAGAGACAUGGAUGUGAGGAUGGCUGGCGGUAUCAUGGGUGGGAUGCUGCUGCUGUUAGUGACCACCCUGUUCCUGCUGAUCCGAUGGGCCAAGAGGAGGAGGAGGAGACAGAGACAAAACCCGGCCGGACGAGGGGCUGUCGCCCUGGGGAAACACCUCAAAGUGGUGAACUCGGGCCGGCCCAUGAUCCCCCUGGUCGAGGAGGUCUCCUACCAGAACGAAGGGUUCAGCAUAGACUAUGAGGCCUCGGGAGGUUCCGGAAGCCUCCUUGGGAGACAUGGGAUCUACACCAGGAAACAGUCGCUGAUCCCGCCACCGCCACGCUGCCACAGCAGCCAUCCAGACUGCGGUUCCAGUACCGUAACAGGUGACAUGCUGCCUAUACUGGUGAUGCCAGAGCCCCUGGUUAAAGACCUCACUCCCUCCCUCAUCUCCAAUGGCAGGAAAGGUGACAGCACCAUCAGCACAGGGGCUGUGACAAAAGACGAGACGGAGAGGAAUAAGCAGAGGGAUAUGGAGAAAGAGGAGGAGAGGGAAUGGGAGAAGCAGUGGGAACGCGCUGUUGGCACAAAAGAGAAGAGAAAUUCUGAGGGGGAAAGGACGGAUAUGUCGAGAGAUGUUUUGGGUGCUUCUAGUGAGACCGCAGAUGUAAGCGAGGCCCCUGAGGACCAAACAAACCCAGAAAAGCCUCAGAGCCAGAGGAUGAAAACACACCAAAUCAGAGAACCCAAAGACGGGCACAAAAGCACUUCUGAAGAGUCGUCUGAGGCAGAAAAAUCAAUAUUAGACUAUGCACUCUGAUCGGUCUUUCAGACGAUUAUGACAUAGCCUCGGAGGACGACCAGGUCCCGUUACUCCAGUAUCAGGACGUCAAGGGGGGAAAUGCAGCGCAAGGGCUCAGCGAAACAAACCAGCGAUCAAGCAAACAGCUGACCAAGUAACCCACAUAUGCACCAUUCAGACUCACACUCUGGGCUUCAGACUCACAUUGAAGAUACAAAAUAACUAACGAUUUAUUUAAAAAUAAAACUGACAUUAUGGAGCCAAACGAACUCUGUACACAGACAAAAAUGUAUAUAAAUUGUUUUUUCUCUCUCCAAUUCCAUAUGAUUAUGUUGGGCCUAAAUGAGCUCAACAACUUUUCAGGUCUUGAAUGAGUAAAUGGACGUAUGUAAAUCUGAGAACAAAAACAUGUGUUUUCUGAAAAACUGUGUGGGACCAGCCUUAAUGCGAAUGAAGCCAUUCUGUAUUGCUUUAAUUUGCAGUGUUAAAGGACUAGUAUUUCAGGAAUUAAAGUCAAAAUCUAAGCGCAUGCAAUGUAACUACAGUGUUGGGGAAGCUACUCUGAAAAUAUAGCUUACCAAAGCCAUCAAUUACUUCCCACUGGAAGAAGUUAAGCUACACUAAAGUUACCCUUAUGAAAAAUAUAGUUACUUAGCUAAAGUUAAUUUGAAAAAGUAGUUCACUACAUCCAAACUACUUAGGUAAAAAUGAUCAUAUCUAAAUCUGAAAUGUCAUAGACUACAUGUUUGACGGUGGGGAUGGUAUUCUUGGGGUCAUAGGCAGCAUUCCUCCUCCUCCAAACAGUUGAGUUGAUGCCAAAGAGCUCCAUUUUGGUCUUAUCUGACCACUACACUUUCACCCAGUUGUCCUCUGAAUCAUUCAGAUGUUCAUUGGCAAACUUCAGACGGGCAUGUAUAUGUGCUUUCUUGAGCAGGGGGACCUUGCGGGUGCUGCAGGAUUUCAGUCCUUCACGGCAUAGUGUGUUACCAAUUGUUUUCUCGGUGACUAUGGUCCCAGCUGCCUUGAGAUCAUUGACAAGAUCCUCCCGUGUAGUUCUGGGACUGAUUCCUCACCGUUCUCAUGAUCAUUGCAACUCCACGAAGUGAGAUCUUGCAUGGAGCCCCAGGCCGAGGGAGAUUGACAGUUCUUUUGUGUUUCUUCCAUUUGCGAAUAACCGCACCAACUGUUGUCACCUUCUCACCAAGCUGCUUGGCGAUGGUCUUGUAGCCCAUUCCAGCCUUGUGUAGGUCUACAAUCUUGUCCCUGACAUCCUUGGAGAGCUUUUUGGUCUUGGCCAUGGUGGAGAGUUUGGAAUCUGAUUGAUUGAUUGCUUCUGUGGACAGGUGUCUUUUAUACAGGUAACAAGCUGAGAUUAGGAGCACUCCCUUUAAGAUUGUGCUCCUAAUCUCAGCUCGUUACCUGUAUAAAAGACACCUGGGAGCCAGAAAUCUUUCUGAUUGAGAGGGGGUCAAAUACUUAUUUCCGUCAUUAAAAUGCAAUCAAUUUAUAACAUUUUUGACAUGCGUUUUUCUGGAUUUUUUUGUUGUUAUUCUGUCUCUCACUGUUCAAAUAAACCCACCAUUAAAAUUAUAGACUGAUCAUUUCUUUGUCAGUGGGCAAACGUACAUAAUCAGCAGGGGAUCAAUUACUUUUUUCCCU
ensembl:lncRNA